rnacentral:rRNA from 1 species
CGUCGAACGAUGAAGCCCUUCGGGGUGGAUUAGUGGCGAACGGGUGAGUAACACGUGAGGCAAUCUGCCCUUCACUCUGGGACAAGCCCUGGAAACGGGGUCUAAUACCGGAUACGACCUGCCGAGGCAUCUCGGCGGGUGGAAAGCUCCGGCGGUGAAGGAUGAGCCCGCGGCCUAUCAUCUUGUUGGUGGGGUAAUGGCCUACCAAGGCGACGACGGGUAGCCGGCCUGAGAGGGCGACCGGCCACACUGGGACUGAGACACGGCCCACACUCCUACGGGAGGCAGCAGUGGGGAAUAUUGCACAGUGGGCGCAAGCCUGAUGCAGCGACCCCGCGUGAGGGAUGACGGCCUUCGGGUUGUAAACCUCUUUCAGCAGGGAAGAAGCGCAAGUGACGGUACCUGCAGAAGAAGCGCCGGCUAACUACGUGCCAGCAGCCGCGGUAAUACGUAGGGCGCAAGCGUUGUCCGGAAUUAUUGGGCGUAAAGAGCUCGUAGGCGGCUUGUCACGUCGGGUGUGAAAGCCCGGGGCUUAACCCCGGGUCUGCAUCCGAUACGGGCAGGCUAGAGUGUGGUAGGGGAGAUCGGAAUUCCUGGUGUAGCGGUGAAAUGCGCAGAUAUCAGGAGGAACACCGGUGGCGAAGGCGGAUCUCUGGGCCAUUACUGACGCUGAGGAGCGAAAGCGUGGGGAGCGAACAGGAUUAGAUACCCUGGUAGUCCACGCCGUAAACGUUGGGAACUAGGUGUUGGCGACAUUCCACGUCGUCGGUGCCGCAGCUAACGCAUUAAG